rnacentral:misc_RNA from 1 species
GAAAUGCGAUAAGGAGUGUGAAUUGCAGAAUUCCGUGAAUGAUCGAAUCUUUGAACACACAGUGCGCCCUAAGGUAGGUCCAUUGGGCAUGCCUGUUCGAGCGUCAUUUCCCCCAAAUCUCAAGCACUGCUUGGUGAUGGGCGCUUGCCCCGCCCUGCUGCGCGCGGACUCGCCUCAAAACCAUUGGCGGCCGGCAUCCGUUUUUCGCACGCAGUAUACCGCACGAGUGAAAUUAGGAAGCCCGGCGUCCACAAAAAGGACCCCCAAGAUUGACCUCGGCUCAGGUAGGGAUACCCGCUGAACUUAA